UUCAGAACACCCACAUUUGGUUCAGUACUAUCCUCCGCAUCUCUCUUCAGAAGAGCUACAUCAGAUUCCAAAUCAUCCAGGAUAUCUCUAAUUCUCUCUUCACCAAGAUUUGUAUCAGCUUCUUUAGCAUGGUGCUCCUCAACUGCAUCUUUAAGCACGGGUUUCAUCAAAGAAAGAGGUGCGUAGUUUUCUAUAAGCUUCCUCAGUAGUCCUUCCAAGCACUCAAUACUAUUCCCACCAGAAAUCAAGUCUUUUGCACCAGGAUCCUUCAAUGCAUCACAAACCAAAUCCUGCAGUCUGCAUAUCUCGCCAUUCAUUCUCUGAAUA
rnacentral:misc_RNA from 1 species